rfam:Paenibacillus alvei DSM 29 PAV_2c, whole genome shotgun sequence.
UAUGCACGCUAGGGGUGCUGGAAUACGGCCGGCUGAGAUUGUAUCCCAUUAAGAUACCGACCCUUACACCUGAUCUGGGUAAUGCCAGCGUAGGAAAGACGUUGAACCGCGUCA